CACAGAGCACAGAGCUCCUUUGUCCAUUUGUAGUGGUCAUGUGCCCAAGGCCUCAAAACCUCAUUUUGGGAGAUCUCUGGGCCCACUCCAAGGUGUUUUCAAUUGAAAAUAUUCAGCUCAUAGUCCAAGCCAGUCACCAGAGGACAGGGCCAGCCUGACCUGUCUGUCCUGGCUGUUUUUGUCUGUGGGCAAUCCUUGGAUAUAUGGAAUUUGAGAGAUAAAUUUCUAAUUUUGGCCAUGGCAUCUGAGCAUGAAAGGUGGUUCUUUUCCACAGGAAUGAAGGAACAGAGCCACGGUGUUUCAGGGGCAGAUGAGAGGUGACCACCAGAGGCCAAGGCUAGCCAGAGCAGGUGCCCAUGGCCAGAACUGGGAUUUCACCUCCAACAUUGCAUACUGUGACAGACUGGAGGAGAUUGUUGGCUCAAAACAUUUCAUGUGUCAGGGAAGAAUGGGCAGAUCCAGCCUUGCCUGCCCUGGAGCACUGCUCUGCCCUGGAACCCCAAUCCCCCCAGAGCCUCUACCCCAGCCCAGCAGUGGCUGCCAGUCCCUGGCACAGCACAGGCAAUGCUCCACAGCCACCUCUGGAGCCCCAGCCCAGCUCCUGAGUGACCAAAUGAGCCCAAGUCCCACCUGGGGGAAGGGCCCAGGAAGACCAAGGGGUAUUGAAGGCUGACCACAAGAAACACUGGGCACCUCUCCGAAGCUCAAAGCGUGAAACCAGUAAACUGACAGGCACUUGAAUGACCAGAGAGCACCUGGAGAAGGAACUCUGGGAGCAGCCAGAUGUACAUAGGAUCCAGCUGGUCAAGUGAAGAGAUGUUCUUAGACAAGGCCAUUUCAAGAGAUGAGUGGGAAACAUCUGAAUGAAGAGGGAGAGGAAAUAAUAGACUGAAUAACAGUGACACAAGUAGAUGGGAGCAACAGUACUUCUUUUAAUGCCAUCAGCACACUUCCAGAAAAUUCCCAAUACUGGUGGCAAAACCGCCAUUUCUCAAAAGUACUCUUGCCACUCAGAUAAUAA